GAGUUUGAUCGUGGCUCAGAAUCAACGCUGGCGGCGUGCCUAAUACAUGCAAGUCGAGCGGAAAGGCCCCUUCGGGGGUACUCGAGCGGCGGACGGCUGAGUAACACGUAGGAACGUACCCCAAAGUGAGGGAUAACUGCUCGAAAGAGUAGCUAAUACCGCAUGUGAUCUCCGGAUUAAAGCCUUCGGGCGCUAUGGGAACGGCCUGCGUAUGAUUAGUUAGUUGGUGAGGUAAUGGCUCACCAAGACGAUGAUCAUUAGCUGGUCUGAGAGGAUGAUCAGCCAGACUGGGACUGAGAACGGCCCAGACUCCUACGGGAGGCAGCAGUAGGGAAUUUUCCACAAUGGACGAAAGUCUGAUGGAGCAACGCCGCGUGCAGGAUGAAUGCCUUCGGGUUGUAAACUGCUUUUAUUGGUUGACGAUUAUGACGGUAGCCAAUGAAUAAGGACCUGCUAACUACGUGCCAGCCGCCGCCGUAAG
rnacentral:rRNA from 1 species